rnacentral:lncRNA from 1 species
GAAAACUCAACUGAUGAAGAAUCGGAAGAAGAGGAUAUGGCCGCCGCAUAUCAUCAACUUGUCAUUGAAUCAAAGAAAGUGGCGAAACACAACAAGAAGCUGAGGCGAAGAUUGUAUGAUUUGGACCAAGUUAAUACGAGAUUAGAGUCAUUGACAAAAUGUCUGGAGCAAGAAAAAGACACUUUAACCAAGUCAUAUAACUC